rnacentral:rRNA from 1 species
GAUGAACGCUGGCGGCGUGCCUAAUACAUGCAAGUCGAGCGAACGGACGAGAAGCUUGCUUCUCUGAUGUUAGCGGCGGACGGGUGAGUAACACGUGGAUAACCUACCUAUAAGACUGGGAUAACUUCGGGAAACCGGAGCUAAUACCGGAUGAUAUUUUUAACCGCAUGGUUCAAAAGUGAAAGACGGUCUUGCUGUCACUUAUAGAUGGAUCCGCGCUGCAUUAGCUAGUUGGUAAGGUAACGGCUUACCAAGGCAACGAUGAAUAGCCGACCUGAGAGGGUGAUCGGCCACACUGGAACUGAGACACGGUCCAGACUCCUACGGAAGGAAGCAGUAGGGAAUCUUCCGCAAUGGCCGAAAGCCUGACGGAGAAACGCCGCGUGAGUGAUGAAGGUCUUCGGAUCGUAAAACUCUGUUAUUAGGGAAGAACAUAUGUGUAAGUAACUGUGCACAUCUUGACGGUACCUAAUCAGAAAGCCACGGCUAACUACGUG